rnacentral:rRNA from 1 species
AACGAACGCUGGCGGCAUGCCUAGCACAUGCAAGUCGAACGAGACCUUCGGGUCUAGUGGCGCACGGGUGCGUAACGCGUGGGAACCUGCCCUUAGGUUCGGAAUAACUCCCCGAAAGGGGUGCUAAUACCGGAUAAUGUCUUCGGACCAAAGAUUUAUCGCCUUUGGAUGGGCCCGCGUUGGAUUAGCUAGUUGGUAGGGUAAAAGCCUACCAAGGCGACGAUCCAUAGCUGGUCUGAGAGGAUGAUCAGCCACACUGGGACUGAGACACGGCCCAGACUCGGAGGGGAGGGAGCGGGAGGGAAGAGCGAAGAGGGGGAGAAGGCGAGAGGCGAGAGGGCGGGUAGAGGGAGGAGGGGCGUGGGGUUGUAACGCUAGUGGACGGGGUAUGAUAAGGACAGUGACGGGAGAAUAACCUCGGGCAACUGCCGGGAAAGAGACCGGGGAAACCAGGGAAGCCCACGCGACCAACA